CCGGGGACUAGCCCGGGUGGCCCGGCGUCACCUGUCACCCGAAAACGUCGGUAUGCGGGGGGCGAAGUCCGAGGAAGGCAAGAGCGACCUGCUGGAGUCCGGUGAUCCUGACGGAGAAACCUUGUCCCAUGAGGUCGGCGGACAGUGAUCGACUCUCCGGAGGGAGAGAUUGACCUGUUGCCGCGGGAACCGGUUCAGGCCCGGAAGGGAGCAGACCCACCGUGGACGUUCGGCGCCCAUGGGGGCGCAGGGUGGAGAAGGGAACUCCGGAUGAAUGCAGGCACGCAUUGUCGACCGAGGACGCGUCCCCAU
rnacentral:SRP_RNA from 1 species